rnacentral:rRNA from 1 species
AUGGCACCAUCCAUGAGUCUUGCAGCGAAAGGUCCGCUCCCCUUUGGAGCGCUCCCCUCGAGCGGCGUGGCGCAGAGGCCGGUGUCGGUGACUGCCUCACUGGAGCACAAGAGCGAUUAUAAGAGGAAGCUCCUGAAUUUGUCACCCAUUCAGCUUUCUUACUGGGGCAUCUUUCUUGUCACUAUUGGUGCUGCUGCUGCUGUGGUUGUUGGAGAUGUUGCUGUUGCAUCUGGCGGAGCUGCCAUUGGGGCCCCAAAAGGAAUUCUACCCGAAGAAAUUCGGAGAAAGCUUGAAGCCCCAGUUAGCGACUUGCUUUGA